rnacentral:rRNA from 1 species
AUGAACGCUGGCGGCGUGCCUAAUCCAUGCCAGUCGAGCGAACAGACGAGGAGCUUGCUCCUUUGACGUUAGCGGCGGACGGGUGAGUAACACGUGGAUAACCUACCUAUAAGACUGGGAUAACUUCGGGAAACCGGAGCUAAUACCGGAUAACAUGUUGAACCGCAUGGUUCAACAGUGAAAGACGGUCUUGCUGUCACUUAUAGAUGGAUCCGCGCCGCAUUAGCUAGUUGGUAAGGUAACGGCUUACCAAGGCAACGAUGCGUAGCCGACCUGAGAGGGUGAUCGGCCACACUGGAACUGAGACACGGUCCAGACUCCUACGGGAGGCAGCAGUAGGGAAUCUUCCGCAAUGGGCGAAAGCCUGACGGAGCAACGCCGCGUGAGUGAAGAAGGUCUUCGGAUCGUAAAACUCUGUUAUUAGGGAAGAACAAAUGUGUAAGUAACUAUGCACGUCUUGACGGUACCUAAUCAGAAAGCCACGGCUAACUACGUG